GAAGAAUAUGUUCCCGGAUUCAGAUAUUGCUCACCAGUACGCAAACAGAAGAACAAAGGCUACUCAAAUAGUGAAAGGUGCCAUUGCCCCGGAAUUGGACAGGGAAGUGAUCAAACUGUGCCUUGACCAACCCUUUGGUCUGAUGUGUGAUGAAAGCACAAGCAGAAACACGGAUAAAGAGUUUGUAAUAUUGGCCAGGGUUUGCGAUCCGAAAACUCAGGAGGUGGUGACGAGGUUUCUGCACAUGCCAGUGUGCAACAUUGGCACAGCAGAGAACCUCUUUCAGUCACUGAACACA